rnacentral:misc_RNA from 1 species
GUAGCUUCCUCUGGACGAGAACUCGUUUGCCUUUCAGCUCUAAGCCUUCCUUUCGCUUCGACCAUGAAACUCAGUCUUACAAAUCUCAAUUCCUUUCGGGCUUUUAAUUCCUUAAAUCCAAGGAAUCCAAUUCCCUUUCCUAGACCCUCAAAUCCAUUCUCUAUCUCUAAUCAGUUACUCUCCGUAAUCCACCAGUCUUCCAAACCUUCCCGUUUCCUUCCUAUUUGCUUUUCAAAUCCCACUAAACAAUCCAAUUCCAGCAACGAAAAAUAUCGUCUCUUUCCAACGCCGAGUUGACUGGGACUUCAAAUCAAAGUCUUGGUGAAGAUGAAUUGGAGAAGAAUUUGGGUGUGCAAGUUGGAAAUCCCAUUGUUCCCUCGUAUAUUCCGCCCGCCAUCUGCUAAGCUCAGUUUGAGUGACCAAGCUUUCUUUCUCUUGUCAUUUAUCGCUUGCACGACUUCUAUAGCUUUUACAAGCUUUGUCAUCGCUGCCG